GCCUAACCUAACAUACAAUCAAAUUACGAAUUGUUCGCCAAAUAACUACGAGUAAAAACUUAAAAUUUAAAAGACUUGACGGUACUUCACACCACCCUAGAGGAGCCUGUCCAAUAACCGAUACCCCACGAUUAACCCAACCCGCUCUAGCCCCCCAGUCUAUAUACCGCCAUCGCCAGCUCACCUUGUAAAAGAAACAAAGCGAGCCCAAAAGCACCCCUUAUCUCCUGCUAACACGAUAGGUCGAGGUGUAACUAAUGAGCGGGGACAAGAUGGGCUACAUUUUCUACGAAUAGAAAACACGAAUAAAAUACGAAAGUAUAAACCGAAGGUGGAUUUAGCAGUAUGCUAAGGACAAAAUACUUAACUGAAACAAACGCAAUGAAGUGCGUACACACCGCCCGUCAUCCCUGCCACAUAAUCAACUAACCUAUAUAAACCCCCCAUAACCCCCAAACCAGGGCAAGUCGUAACAUGGUAAGCGUACUGGAAAGUGCGCUUAGAAA
rnacentral:rRNA from 1 species